CGUAUCAAACGGGUUUCGUUCGGUACGUUUACAUCGAUACCACAUUUACAUAGGCUGCGGUAUACUUUCCUUAUUCCGCGCAGUUUCGAACAAACUGUUUGUGUGUUGUGGGUCUGAUCUUGUGUUAAGCUUCAAUAAAUCUGUUAAUCGGAAUAAGAUUACCUCUGCGGAACAUUUAUUUGGUAAUUGGCGGGCCCUAGCCUCCUGACACUAUGACGUCGAAAUCAUCCAUAUUUUAUUUCGAAACAUGUUGUUUUUGUAUAUCGCUGAGAAGAGGGUGUUUUAUUAUGGCAUACAUGCAAUUGGUUGGGAUAAUUUUAGGUACAAUAGCCGCAGGGAUUGUUAUUGGCUUCGAAGUCGAUAAGGCUAAUGAAAAAUAUCAACAUAUAAGUUCUUUAUGGAUUGCAAUAUUUUUUUUACUUUUUUUAACAAUAACUUUGGCCCUUAUAUUCAAUAUUAUUCUUCUUAUUGGAUUACAUAAGAAUAAGCCUGGUCAUGUAAAAGCUUAUCUUAUUUUUAACAUAAUAUUGAGUGUUAUUUUCGUGGUAGUUGUAAUGUUAUCAUUUAUAACGGGAUAUACCAAUAUCUCAGAAAUUUUAAGAAAAAUUAUACAAUUAUUGAUAUCCAUCUAUUACUUACUCGUCUACAGAAGUUAUUACAUUAAAAUGAAGGAAACCCCCGAACAAACCGCUUAAGAGAUGAAAUAUUUCCUUCAUAUAAAAUCCUACAGUAUAUUCCAAAGGCAGAAAGAGGAAGACAAAACAAACCCAGAUUCAUAUAUUCCACAACAAGAUUAACAGAUCAUUAUACGACGAACCAAACUUCGAUAGUGGAGAGGCACAAGAAGAAGACAUCUAUAUUAAUAUUAUAAAUGCGAAAGUACUUUGUCUGUCUGUUAUGCUUUUAAGGCACUACUGGUUAAAUUUGGCAUGAAGUAAACUUGAACUUCAGGGACGGACAUAGGUUACUUUUUUACAUAAUAACCGCCCCACAUCACGCGGGGCGAUUACUAGUUAUGUAUAUAAUAUAAGAAGGUCGAGAUUAAAAUAUAUUAAUUUAUUAUAAGCAUUUUUCCACCAUGUAAUGUAUUCGUAAGUAUGUAUCCUUUGUUGGAGCUCCUUAAUAAGUAAAUAAAUAAAUAAUACAACACUUUUGCACUACCAUAUGUCUUGGUGUUCAAAUCGGACUGGAGGAAAUCAUUCUUUCGUCAUUGUGAAGUAUAUAACCAUUAAAUAUACCAAUAAUGAGUCUUAACCGAUGAUCAUGGGUUCAAACCCGGGCAAGCACCAAUGAAUUUCCAUGUGCUUAAGAUGUGUUUGUAAUUCAUCUCGUGCUUGACGGUGAAACAAAGAAUCGUGAUGAAACCUGCAUAUGUCUAAUAUCAAUGAAAAUCUGCCACAUAUGCAUUCCACCAACCCGCAUUGGAGCAGCGUGGUGGAAAAUAGCAAAAACAGAUUACAAGUCUUCAAUCGGUAAUAAUAUAUAUAUUUAGCUGGCAUGUGAUGCCUGGCUUAUGUGAAACAUCGAACUUAAUUUAAAAAUGCAG